rnacentral:rRNA from 1 species
GACGAAAGCUGGCGGCGUGCCUAAUACAUGCAAGUAGGACGCAGUUGCGAACGGGUGAGUAAAGCGUAGGUAACUACCUAUUAGAGGGGGAUAAAUAUUGGAAACGAUAGCGAAUACAGCAUACUAGUAGAUGGACCUGCGAUGUAUUAGCUAGUAGGUUGGGUAAUGGCCUACCAAGGCAACGAAACAUAGCCGGCCUGGUGGGGUGGUCUGCCAAAAUGGGACUGGGGCCCGGCCCAGAAUCCUUCGGGAGGCAGCAGGUGGGAAGCUUCGGCAAUGGGGGGAACCCUGACCGGGCAACGCCGCGUGAGUGAAGAAGGUUUUCGGGUUGUAAAGCGCUUUUGUUCAGGAAGCGGUACCUAACCAGCAAGGGACGGCUAACUACGUGCCAGCCGCCGCGGUAAUAC